rnacentral:rRNA from 1 species
GACAGAGGGUGCAAACGUUGUUCGGAAUUACUGGGCGUAAAGCGCGUGUAGGCGGCCAUGCAAGUCGGAUGUGAAAGCCCUCGGCUCAACCGGGGAAGUGCACUCGAAACUGCAAGGCUAGAGUCUCGGAGAGGAUCGUGGAAUUCUCGGUGUAGAGGUGAAAUUCGUAGAUAUCGAGAGGAACACCGGUGGCGAAGGCGGCGAUCUGGACGAUGACUGACGCUGAGGUGCGAAAGCGUGGGGAGCAAACAGG